rnacentral:rRNA from 1 species
UAUUGCGCAAUGGGGGAAACCCUGACGCAGCAACGCCGCGUGAGUGAGGAAGGUCUUCGGAUUGUAAAACUCUUUUGCUAGGGAAAAAUGACCUUGUGGCUAAUAUCCACGAGGAGUGAUGGUACCUAAAGAAUAAGGACCGGCUAACUUCGUGCCAGCAGCCGCGGUAAUACGAAGGGUCCAAGCGUUGUUCGGAAUCAUUGGGCGUAAAGCGCGCGCAGGCGGGUCAGCAAGUCAGAUGUGAAAUCUCGAAGCUCAACUUCGAAACUGCGUCUGAAACUGCUAGUCUAG